UCAGCUCGUGUCGUGAGAUGUUGGGUUAAGUCCCGCAACGAGCGCAACCCUUAUUAUUAGUUGCCAUCAUUAGGUUGGGCACUCUAGUAAGACUGCCGCAGGCAAUGCGGAGGAAGGUGAAAUGUCUAUGAAAUUCUGUCCAGGAUUUUGACUCAAAUCCAAGAUCGUUGAAUGUUUCCGCCAUAGCUCAGUUGGUAGAGCGCAUGACUGUUAAUCAUGAUGUCACAGGUUCGAGCCCUGUUGGCGGAGUUGAGGGGAGUAGGAGGUAUAGUAUUUAUGGCCAAGGUAGAUUUUUUUACUGGACGGAAAACGUCUUCUGGUAAUAAUCGUUCUCAUGCUAUGAACAAAACAAAGCGUACAGUAAAGCCAAAUUUACAAAAAAUUCGUGUACUUGUUAAUGGAAAGCCUAAAAGAGUAUGGGUUUCAGCACGUGCUUU
rnacentral:rRNA from 1 species